GCGAUUGGCGGAAAAGGACGAGGCAUUUUUGUGCUUUACCAUUAAUUAUAUAUUAAGAUUAUGGUCCUUUGUAUUCACCUUGCGAUUUAUAUUUUGAAUAACUAGUGUUCUAAUGCUGUCUAUCUGAGUCUUGUAGUUGUAAAAUUGUAUGGUAUUGUUAGCUUAAAUUUUUAUUUUUGUAAAGAUGAACCAAUAUUUCUACAUUUUUCCUUGCUUUUUAACAAGAUAGAGAAACAUGUAGACAAGCAAAAUAGAAAUAGAAAUACGUGAUGAUUAGUUCUUCAGUAUUAGGAUAAGGCCAGAUUUCCUAUGGUUGUAUUCUUAACUCUGUCCAUUUGCAUAAAAAUUAUUGAUUGUUGCUGUAAAUUACAUGUAGGAAUCAAUAGGGAAACGGCAGUAUAUAGCUAAAAGGUAUUCAGUCAUAACCAAGGAGAAAUUAUUCGGAUUAUGGCCACAUCAAGCGGUGCCACGACCCCUGAGGUCCGUCCUGCGGCAAAGGCCAACAAACCUGUGCGUGUAUUCUGCCGAGAUAAAGUAUUAAUAUGCACACACUAAAGCCCUGACGACUGACCGCUAGCCAUGCUUGGAUCGGUUGGACUCUAUAGGACCUAAUAGACAAUUUGCAGGUGAAAAUAUUCUCAGAUACAGAGAUUUUUGCCAAAAAAAAUGUGGUCAUUGUUUUCUGGAAAACAGGCCUGCGUUUUUUCAGUACGGGACUCUUGAAAUGGUACUAGUAUGAUGUCCAAAAACUUUAUAAAUCUGUCCUUUGGAAGUUGCUCAGUGACAGUCGGUCAAUGUUUUCCAGAAAACACCUACUACGUUCUUUUGUGCAAAAAUCACCAUGUCUGCGAAUAUUUUUGCCUGCAAAUAAUUAAUUAUGUCCUAUAGAUUCCAUUGAAACAUGAAAACCUUUAAAUAUUUGGUUAAGUUUGACAAAAGAGGUGUAACCUAAGAUGAUCCAAUCCUGGUCAGCAGUCAGUGGUCAGGGUUUUAUUGUGUGCCACAUUAAUACAUUCCUUAUUUGACGAUAGAUUUACCUGGAGAGACUACAAGCUUUAUCUUGCAAGGAACAAUGGCCACAGUAUUGUUUGAAGCACCAAUGUACAGCUUUGAUAAUCAGCUGUGGAUUGCUCUUCACCAUGUGCAAAUUAUUUUUAGCCUGAUAGUGUUUAAUGUAUUCUUUUUGGCCAUGUAGUAGUUUCUUUUUAUCUUUGCAGCACUACUUGGAUUAAUUGCCAUGACUACGUGUGCCCUUUGAGCAAUGCCCAGAAGGAGGGUUGAUGUGGGGCUCCACCCACCAGCACCUCAUAGCAAACACUUUUCCUCGAAUGCAAGUUAGAUGCAGUUAAAUGCCAGCGGCUGUUUGCUCUGCCACCUGGACUACCUAACCAUAUAGUAUCCCAUUAAAUCCUGCCAUUUGGCACACCCCUCAUGUGUCUGAAAAAUGCACUUAAUCAAAAAGAAAUUGUUGUGGGGGAUUCACAAUGCAGAAGUUGCAGGUUAUGCCUAGAAAGGAUUCUGAACAAGACACCCAAUGCAGACACAAAAAUGUAGUGCAAAAUGAGAACUGGAGGGGGAGUACCUGUAGCAGCAUGACCCCGCAACCUGAAGCUCAGCAUACUUUCCCAGGUUGGGUCAUGCUAGAUCCGCUGCCGCGUCCGUGCUCAUUGGACAGCGGGCUCCCCUCGUUCCCGGCGCGCUGACACAGAGCUUGUGUACUUAAGCCGCAGAGCCGCCUGCGAGAUCAGCAAUCCCCGAUCCUCCAGCAGAGCAAGACCACAGCAGCCCAGGACUUCCCAGUCCUUAGGCGACUGGGGAGCCUACCGGCUCCCCCAUAGAUCUCCAACUUCAUCCUCUAUCACCCAGCCAUGCCUGUGGGCACUCACACCCACACAGUCAUUCCCUAAAGAGAUAAGACACCAGACAAGAUAGUAAAUGCCCCCAUAACCAUCUACUAAGAACAAUCCUUAGACUUACAUUAAUGCUGCAUUGCUGGGGAUGGCUUUAUUUCCCAUUUUUACCAUUAGUUUCUAUUUCCUCCAAUUAUUUUCACAGUAUAAUUGAUGCAUUUGUUAUGUCCACACAUUCUUUUGAUAUUUUCUUGGGGAAAAAACAUCUCAUCUCAUUUGCUUAGUUGACUUCAAUAGUGGGGAUAUAAUUGUUGUUAAAUCUUUUCAGAAUGUAUAUGCUGUAAAUAAAUUUUCUUCUCUUUUCAAGUUUUUUUUUUUUUUUUUUUCAGAUACUUAUUUUUUUAUACAUCCAUACAGCUUCAUAUAACUUCUCUCAGUAUAAAAUAAAUUAUUUUAAAAAUGUAGAAAAGGUGUGAAUGAGAAUGAAUUUCUUCACAGUACAAGAGAUGUAUUUAACUGUUUUCAAAUAUAUCUUUGCCAGAAAUACAUGUAUUUCUGAAGAAGAUAUAUUCUAAAUAGGGUAAAUACAUCUCUUGUAUUAUGAAGAUAUUCAAUCUCAUUCAUACCAUUUCUACACUGUCAGCAUAAAUACAGUUCAAUGAAAGAAACGUUUGAUAAACAUGAAACAUGAGACUUUGACGGUGGUAUAGUACAUUCAUCUGUAAAAUUAUCUAAAAAUGACCUUUUGACUAAACACUUAGAAAAGUAGAUUUACCCCUCUUUUCUGGCUUCUAUUAAUGAACACUAGUUUUCUCUAUAGUAGGCCUAUGCAUAAAGCUAAUUUCAACAUAGCUUUCAGGUAUCUGAUCAGGUAUGUGUAUUUGUGAGUUUGAUUUUUCUAUAUUCAUACUUAGUAAACUAAUGUACAAAAACAGAUUCUUUUAAUUGAACCGUUCAUGCAAUAUGCUUUAUGGUUAUAAGUAUACUUUUGAACUGACUUACUUCAUAAAUUGUUAAUCACAAGAGGAAAAAAUAGUGGCAUCCCUCAUUUAUUUUUGCAAGUUUGAAUUUGUUUGUAUUGGAUCUGCAAGAUUGCUCUGAUCCAUUUUUAAAUUCUCCUCGGAAUUCUUAAUUAGUAAAUGUUGCAGUUGUUAGAAAUUAUUAUGGUAACCUUUUUUUCAUCACAAUCCAGAUUUCUGCAUGGUUCAAGCAAGAGGAGUUUACUGUUAUCUUUUUCUGUGUUUUUUUUUUUUUUUCAUGAGCCAAGCUUUUCUGUAUUAAGCAGGAAGACUGUGAGACCAACCCAAUCCCCUUCCCCCUUCUCUUCACAGAGUUUGGCAACAUAA